rnacentral:rRNA from 1 species
UUUUCCUACGGGGGGCAGCAGUCGGGAAUAUUGCGCAAUGGAGGAAACUCUGACGCAGUGACGCCGCGUAUAGGAAGAAGGUUUUCGGAUUGUAAACUAUUGUCGUUAGGGAAGAGAAAGGACAGUACCUAAGGAGGAAGCUCCGGCUAACUACGUGCCAGCAGCCGCGGUAAUACGUAGGGAGCAAGCGUUAUCCGGAUUUACUGGGUGUAAAGGGAGCGUAGACGGCGCGGCAAGUCUGAAGUGAAAGGCAGGGGCUUAACCCCUGAACUGCUUUGGAAACUGCCAUGCUAGAGUGCUGGAGG